UGUGGGAGCUGGCUUGCCUGCGAUGCGGGUGGCGCGGUAUUGCAGUAAAACCGCGGUGAUGCCAUCGCAGGCAAGCCAGCUCCCACA
rnacentral:misc_RNA from 1 species